GUGUUACAGAUGAAACAACCGCGCCGACAACGUUAACAAGUGCCAGCCGUGAAACGCCUACAGAAGAACGGACUCCAACGCCAAGUGUCAGAGGUGAAACAACCGUUCCGACAAGGUCAACAAGUGGCACUCCUGAAACACCUACAGAAAAACGGACUCCUACGCCAGGUAAUAUUCACAAAAUUAUGUAGAGGUGUCAUGGUAAAGUGGUUCAUUCACUUGACUCUCACUCCUUA